rnacentral:rRNA from 2 species
UCAAGUUAUUAAGGGUGCAGGGCGGAUGCCUUGGCACUAGGAGCCGAUGAAGGACGUGAUAAGCUGCGAUAAGCUUCGGGGAGUUGCACGUAAACUUUGAUCCGAAGAUUUCCGAAUGAGGAAACUCACUUAGAGUAAUGUCUAAGUAUCAUUAAGUGAAUACAUAGCUUAAUGAGGGGAACUCAGGGAACUGAAACAUCUAAGUACCUGAAGGAAGAGAAAGAAAUUCGAUUCCGUAAGUAGCGGCGAGCGAACGCGGAUUAGCCCAAACCAAUAAAGUUUUCUUUAUUGGGGUUGCGGACAUAUCAUAACGAAGAGGUAUCGUAAUUGAAGAGGUUUGGAAAGACCCACCACAGAAGGUAAUAGUCCUGUAUGUUAAACGAAAAGACUUUAGAUAUGAUCCAGAGUACCACGGGACACGUGAAACCCUGUGGGAAGCAGGAGGGACCACCCUCCAAGGCUAAAUACUACCUAGUGACCGAUAGCGUAUAGUACCGUGAGGGAAAGGUGAAAAGAACCCCGGGAGGGGAGUGAAAUAGAACCUGAAACCCUGCACUUACAAGCUGUGGAAGCACAUUUCUUGUGUGACCGCGUACUUUUUGUAGAACGGGCCAACGAGUUACGUUAAGUAGCAAGGUUAAGCACUUAAGGUGCGGAGCCGUAGCGAAAGCGAGUUUUAACUGAGCGUUCAGUUACUUGACGUAGACCCGAAACCGGGCGACCUACCCAUGAGCAGGAUGAAGCGAAAGUAAAAUUUCGUGGAGGUCCGAACCCACGAGCGUUGAAAAGCUCGGGGAUGACUUGUGGGUAGCGGUGAAAUUCCAAUCGAGCCCGGAGAUAGCUGGUUCUCCCCGAAAUAGCUUUAGGGCUAGCCUCAAGGUGAGAGAUACGGAGGUAGAGCACUGAAUGUCCUAGGGGGUAUUGCACCUACCGAAGACUAUCAAACUCCGAAUGCCGUCAUCUUAUACUUGGGAGUCAGACUGUGGGUGAUAAGAUUCAUAGUCGAAAGGGCAACAGCCCAGAUCGUCAGCUAAGGUCCCUAAAUGUAAGUUAAGUGGUAAAGGAUGUGGGAUUGCACAGACAACCAGGAUGUUGGCUUAGAAGCAGCCACUCAUUCAAAGAGUGCGUAAUAGCUCACUGGUCGAGUGAUCCUGCGCCGAAGAUUUCCGGGGCUAAAACUUACUACCGAAGCUACGGCAUCAGUAAUGAUGGGUAGGGGAGCUUCCCAUACGGGUUGAAGCAUGACCGUAAGGACAUGUGGACAGUAUGGGAGUGAGAAUGUUGGCAUGAGUAGCGAAAUGUGGGUGGGAAUCCCACAGGCCGUAAACCCAAGGUUUCCAGGGGAAGGUUCGUCCGCCCUGGGUUAGUCGGGACCUAAGCUGAGGCCGAAAGGCGUAGGUGAUGGACAACAGGUUGAUAUUCCUGUACUACCGAUAACCGUUUGAGAGAAGGGAUGACACAGUAGGAUAAGCUAAGCACACUGUUGGUUAUGUGUGCCCAAGCAUUGAGGCAGUCAAAGUAGGCAAAUCCGCUUUGAUAAUGCUGGGAUGUGAUGGGGAGCGAAAUUUAGUAGCGAAGUAGCUGAUUUCACACUGUCAAGAAAAGUCUCUAUCGAGGUUAAAGGUACCCGUACCGCAAACCGACACAGGUGGGUGAGGAGAGUAUCCUAAGGCCAGCGAGAGAACUGUUGUUAAGGAACUCGGCAAAAUGACCCCGUAACUUAGGGAUAAGGGGUGCCACCAUCAGGUGGCCGCAGAGAAUAGGCCCAAGCGACUGUUUACCAAAAACAUAGGUUUCUGCUAAGUCGCAAGACGAUGUAUAGGAGCUGACGCCUGCCCGGUGCUGGAAGGUUAAGGGGAUCUGUUAGAGCAAUCGAAGCAGUGAACUUAAGCCCCAGUAAACGGCGGCCGUAACUAUAACGGUCCUAAGGUAGCGAAAUUCCUUGUCGGGUAAGUUCCGACCCGCACGAAAGGCGUAACGAUUUGGGCACUGUCUCAACAACAGACUCGGUGAAAUUGUAAUUCCGGUGAAGAUGCCGGAUACCUGCGACAGGACGGAAAGACCCCAUGGAGCUUUACUGUAGCUUGACAUUGGGUCUUGGUACUACAUGUACAGGAUAGGUGGGAGGCUUUGAAACCAGGACGCCAGUUUUGGCGGAGCCAUCCUUGGGAUACCACCCUUGUAGUACUGGGACUCUAACCAUAGGCCAUGAAUCUGGUCUUGGGACACUGUCAGGUGGGCAGUUUGACUGGGGCGGUCGCCUCCCAAAAGGUAACGGAGGCGCUCAAAGGUUCUCUCAGUACGGUCGGAAAUCGUACGUAGAGUGUAAAGGCAAAAGAGAGCUUGAUUGCAAGACAUACAGGUCGAGCAAGGAUGAAAAUCGGACUUAGUGAUCCGGUGGUUCUGCGUGGAAGGGCCAUCGCUCAACGGAUAAAAGCUACCCUGGGGAUAACAGGCUUAUCUCCCCCAAGAGUCCACAUCGACGGGGAGGUUUGGCACCUCGAUGUCGGCUCAUCACAUCCUGGGGCUGUAGUAGGUCCCAAGGGUUGGGCUGUUCGCCCAUUAAAGUGGUACGCGAGCUGGGUUCAGAACGUCGUGAGACAGUUCGGUCCCUAUCCGUCGCAGGCGUAGGAAAUUUGAGAAGACCUGUCCUUAGUACGAGAGGACCGGGAUGGACGUACCUCUGGUGUACCAGUUGUCCUGCCAAGGGCAUGGCUGGGUAGCUAUGUACGGAAUGGAUAAGCGCUGAAAGCAUCUAAGCGCGAAGCCAACUUCAAGAUAAGAUUUCCCACCGCAAGGGUAAGACCCCAGAAAGACUAUCUGGUUGAUAGGUCGAAGGUGUAAGUGCAGCAAUGUAUUUAGCUUAUCGAUACUAAUAGGUCGAGGACUUGACCAA